CUGGAGGUAUCAGAAGUGCGAAUGCUGACAUAAGUAACGAUAAAGCGGGUGAAAAGCCCGCUCGCCGGAAGACCAAGGGUUCCUGUCCAACGUUAAUCGGGGCAGGGUGAGUCGACCCCUAAGGCGAGGCCGAAAGGCGUAGUCGAUGGGAAACGGGUUAAUAUUCCCGUACUUGGUGUUACUGCGAAGGGGGGACGGAGAAGGCUAUGUUGGCCGGGCGACGGUUGUCCCGGUUUAAGCGUGUAGGUGUGUGUUCCAGGUAAAUCCGGUUCACUUUAACACUGAGGCGUGACGACGAGGCACUACGGUGCUGAAGCAACAAAUGCCCUGCUUCCAGGAAAAGCCUCUAAGCAUCAGGUAACAUCAAAUCGUACCCCAAACCGACACAGGUGGUCAGGUAGAGAAUACCAAGGCGCUUGAGAGAACUCGGGUGAAGGAACUAGGCAAAAUGGUGCCGUAACUUCGGGAGAAGGCACGCUGACACGUAGGUGAAGUGAUUUACUCAUGGAGCUGAAGUCAGUCGAAGAUACCAGCUGGCUGCAACUGUUUAUUAAAAACACAGCACUGUGCAAACACGAAAGUGGACGUAUACGGUGUGACGCCUGCCCGGUGCCGGAAGGUUAAUUGAUGGGGU
rnacentral:rRNA from 1 species